GAAGUAUACACCCCUACCACCUCCAUCACCUCAUUCCCCUUCUUCUUCAUCAUCUUCUUGUUCUUCUUGUGUUAUUCUCCUUCUUCAUAUCAUAUGAUGUCUGUCUAAGGCGACACCAUCAAAGUUAAGGAUUGAUAACAAGUUCAAUUUUGUUUGCCCAUCGGCUUUUCCCGAAAUUCUUACCAGUACCAUCACUCGAUCAUCGUUCCAAAUUCAUUUCCGACAUUAGCAGAGUCAGUUGGCGAUUGGAAUUUGGAGACAAAGGUAACCAAGUUGGUUAACUGUGCAUAACCUUAACUUAAUAGCGGCGACUACCUUAUACCAUAAAAAUAGAAUCAGGUUAAAGGGUGUCCAUUACAUUGGCAAAGUGAGUUCUGAUGAGGUUGAUUCUUCAUUUCUUUAGGGGUACCAAAAGUUUGAGUUGAUCCAAUCUACCAACGGGUUAUACUCUAAUGCAGGUGCGGAAGCACAGCAGACUUCCCCUGGAUGAAGCCACCCCCAAAAUUACUGAGAAUCAAAUUUGAAGUAGUAAAAGUUGGCCCAGAACCCUCAAGCCCGGGUGAAAAUACCAUCGAAUUUGAAGUAGUAAAAGCAAUGCUUGAGGUGGUCUUCUGAAGAAGGUUCACUCAUUAUUG